GAGAGUAAGCAAGGCACGCAGGGGCAUAAGUGGUAUAGGAAGCGAUCGGUGAGGAAAGGAAAGGAAGCAGAAUGAAGAAGAGCGAGGCGUUGACGGUGGCAGUCAACGUGAUGUGUUUAGUUAUGAUUUGCGCUGCGGUCGAGAUCGAGUCCCCACAGUACACAAUCGUACACUCCGAAUCCGAUUUCGAGGUGAGGCUCUACCGAAGCUCCGUGUGGAUGUCCGCUCCCGCUCUCGACAUUUCCUUCGAGAAAGCCACCUGGAACGGCUUCCACAGGUUGUUCCAGUUCACCGAAGGCGCCAACCUCAAUUUCUCCCGAAUCCCAAUGACCCUUCCCGUCCUCACCACCACCGUCCCCGCCGCCGGUCCCCUUCAAUCCCAAGGCUAUUACGUUAGUCUCUACUUACCCGUUAAGUUCCAGGCCACUCCACCGCUGCCGCUCCCCCAACUCAACAUCAAACCCUAUGAGUUCAGCAGCCACUGCGUCGCCGUCAGAAUGUUCUCUGGAUUCGCCAAGGAUGAGAGGGUUGUCAAAGAGGCCCAAAAGCUCGCCACCACUCUAAGUAGCUCUCCCUGGGCUCACUCCCAGACUCGCCCUGGCUACUCCAUUGCGCAGUACAAUACUCCCUUCCGAAUUGUCAAACGCAAAAAUGAAGUGUGGGUGGACAUUGAUGCUCCUGAAUUGGGAUGUAAGUCAGUUGGUGUUGCCACGUAUUGAUUGAAGGAGGAUGGAUAUCAGAAUGCUUCGCUACUUGUAUCUAGUGCAACAAGGUUCCUAUCAACCAUCACAGAAACACAGCCCAUAACAUAACAAUCUUCCCUCUGUGUUCUUGUGGCUGUCCGAGAGCUAGGGUUGUCUGAUAGUCAGCUCUACCAUAAAGAACAAGUCAAGCUUAUCUAUAUCCUAAUCUUAAUCAUCAGAGGGACAGUUUUGGAGAACGGAUGAGAAGCUGAAAGCAACUUCAUAUAGCCAUCAAACCAAACUACUGAUUUCUUACCUAGUUCAGUGAUUGAUUAGUGAUGACUUCAUCUACCAUUUGCUGUGCUGAAAUUGAUGUUGUAAUUUUGAAUUAACAAGUAUGAACUAGCUUGGCAAUUUAUGACACUGGAAUUGCUCAAGUUCGAAGCAGCAGCAACAUUAGCUCUUUGCAUUGUUCCUAAUCAAAACUACCCUACUCAUUUUGUAGUUGAAAGCCACUCAACCAUAAGCUUCUUCCAUCGCAUUCAAAUGUCUUAUCUAGCUCUUACUAAACAUGAAGAAAUGUCAUCCACUCAUACAAAUUCACCGGUGUCCCCGUGCUUCCAUGAUGACACAUGGAGUGUAAGAUGACCUUUCCUUUUAUUGUGACUUGAGGUUAAUGCACAAUAUUCUAUUUCAAAAUAAAUUAUACUUUUAAGUUUA